rnacentral:tRNA from 1 species
AAAUUUAGGUUACUAAAACCAGAGACCUUCAAAGCCUCAAAUAGGACCUAACGCCUAAUUUCUG